ACUUUCGAAAUUUUUAAAUCCAUUACUCAAGCUCUCGAGUUCAUUUUGUUUUAUGAUUUUCAUUCAGGCUUGCACAAACAUGUUUCAACAAUUGCGUUGACAAAAGGUACAAGGAAGCUGAGCUAAACAUGGGUGAAAAUAGUUGCAUUGACCGCUGUGUUUCAAAAUAU